GCUCGUAGUCGGAUUUUGGGCGCGUGUGAACUGUCAGCCUCUGGUUGGACGGUGCGCGCGUGCCUUUCUGCUUGGGAGCCCCAUGGUGGUUAAUUCUGUCGUGGUGGGUCACAGGCCGUUUACUUUGAAAAAAUUAGAGUGUUCAAAGCAGGCUGUUGCUUGAAUAGAUUAGCAUGGAAUAAUGGAAUAGGACCUUGGUGCUAUUUCGUUGGUUAUGGGACUGGGGUAAUGAUUAAUAGGGACAGUUGGGGCCGUUCAUAUUUCGUUGUCAGAGGUGAAAUUCUUGGAUUUACGAACGAUGAACUUGUGCGAAAGCAUUCGGCAAGGAUGUUUUCAUUGAUCAAGAACGAAAGUUAGGGGAUCGAAGACGAUCAGAUACCGUCGUAGUCUUAACCAUAAACUAUGCCAACUAGGGAUCAUUGAGUGUCAAUUUACGACCUCAUUGGCACCUUGUGAGAAAUCAAAGUUUUUGGGUUCCGGGGGGAGUAUGGUCGCAAGGCUGAAACUUAAAGGAAUUGACGGAAGGGCACCACCAGGAGUGGAGCCUGCGGCUUAAUUUGACUCAACACGGGGAAACUUACCAGGUCCAGACAUAGUCAGGAUGGACAGAUUGAAAGCUCUUUCUUGAUUCUAUGGGUGGUGGUGCAUGGCCGUUCUUAGUUGGUGGAGUGA
rnacentral:rRNA from 1 species